UUACCAUUCUGCGCGUGCGCGUGCCGGCCCGCCUUUCCCGUCAUGCUUUGCUUUUUUUUUUUUCUGCUAUAAAAGCGCACGCUCGCUUACAAAUCGGCCAUUUCGGACGACCUUCCCUCCUCGGAUGGUGCAGAUGACUCCUGACACGACUGCUCCUCAGAUGUUCCUGGUGAAGAUGUCGGGUGACGGCUGUUGCAGGUGAGUCUUGACCCCGGUGUAACUUGCCUAUUCCGGGCCUCAUCGCUGAUGAAUAAAUCUAGACAAGCAUAUAUCUGACUGGUAGUGAUGCCCUAUAUAUUCUGAGAUGAGGCUGCAGGUGUUGACAAUGAACCAUGUCCUGUGCUUUAUUUUUUUUAAUCUAUUGUGUUUUUCUUCAGGGCUUUAAUGAUGUGCCAAAUUUUAAGAUGGCAUCGUAAAGAAAAAGGUAUGUUUCAUAACUUGUGGACUGAACUGCUCUAUUAGAAUAUAGAUCUUCAUAUUUCUAAUUGUAUUCAUUACCAGAAGUUCUGUAAGUUUCACCAGUGUCUGCAAACUAAGACUAAUUAUGUAAGACAAACUUUGUACUACAGCUACAAUCCUCACCCUGGCUAAUCACAAGUCAGUAUUUCAGACUUUUUGCCAGGCUGGCACUUUUAGUGUGAAACCUUCCCUUGACUCUUACUUAGCUUGAAGGUCUUGCUGUUUACAGGAGUACUCUGCUGCUCACCAUUUGGAAAAACUGUUCCGAACGCUGGCACUGGGAGGACGUGUUGUCAAAGCCCUGUCACGCCCCCUCCCAUAGACUUGCAUUGAGGGGGAAGGGUGUGACGUCACAAGCUCCCGGCUCCAGCGUUCGGUAUAGUUAGUUCCAAAUGCUGAGCAGUGGAAUACCCCUUUAAGGCUUUUUAAAUGGCCUUCAGAUGCUUUACCUAAAAAUGGUGGUAAUCAUAGCUGACCAUACCGUAUUGCUAUAAACAUGCAUGAACUCUUAUACAGUAUAAUCUACAUGGCAGAGGCACAAUGCAACUUCUGUCUGGUCCCUGACAAAUCUGUCGGUGUAAAGAAUGCUUUGGAGCUGUUCAUCUUCCUAGUCUGCAAUGUCUGGCUACUUGCAUUUACUUCACAGGUUCUUGUGUAACUUCUAAAUUAAGCAAGAAAAUGGGCACUUGGCCCCAGUACAUUAAGUCUGCUCCAAAUGAUGACUUUAGAAGUCUCGUUCGUCUGAACCGCUGUGAAGAACACUCAUAGCAUGGUGGAGUUCUGAUGGAGCUUUAGCUUCCUUAAAAAAAAACUUGUGUUUUUUUUAUUCUACUUUUAAUGCUGGUUUUGUUUUCUGCAGGUUGAACAUGACAGUAGAUCCCUUUAGGACAUGGUACAUUGGAUCUGGACGGACUCUAGCAGGAUUACUGGAGAACAGGAGUCUGCAGCCCUACACACCAGGAUACGAGGAGCAGAGGAUGAAGUGGAUUUAUUGAAGCUCUGAAGGUUUACAUAUCAGAAACUCACUGGGUUCCAGUGGUGACUGCUGCAGUGGAUGGGAUUACAUUCUGGUCAUGAUGUCAUCACUUGGGUCAUAUUGUCAGUGUCAUUACUAGGUCAUAAUGUCCUUACUAGAUUUCCUUAUUGUGAAGGACCUGCAAACUUGACUGCAAAGGCUUCAGUCCUUGCACUCAGAGCAGCUAGGAAUUUGGACGAGUCCUCUACAUCACUCAUUCAGUGGAGCCUGGAAUAGUGACAACUAAACUUGUUGGCAAUGUUGUGUACCACUUAUCUCAGAAAUAAGGCUGACGGUGUACAUAAGCAUCUGUAUGUAUUUGUUAUGCAUUACAUAAUAAAGAUGAAAUUAU